UGGGGAAUAUUGCGCAAUGGGGGGAACCCUGACGCAGCCAUGCCGCGUGAAUGAAGAAGGCCUUAGGGUUGUAAAGUUCUUUCGGUAUUGAGGAAGGUUGAUGUGUUAAUAGCACAUCAAAUUGACGUUAAAUACAGAAGAAGCACCGGCUAACUCCGUGCCAGCAGCCGCGGUAAUACGGAGGGUGCGAGCGUUAAUCGGAAUAACUGGGCGUAAAGGGCACGCAGGCGGUUAUUUAAGUGAGGUGUGAAAGCCCCGGGCUUAACCUGGGAAUUGCAUUUCAGACUGGGUAACUAGAGUACUUUAGGGAGGGGUAGAAUUCCACGUGUAGCGGUGAAAUGCGUAGAGAUGUGGAGGAAUACCGAAGGCGAAGGCAGCCCCUUGGGAAUGUACUGACGCUCAUGUGCGAAAGCGUGGGGAGCAAACAGGAUUAGAUACCCUGGUAGUCCACGCUGUAAACGCUGUCGAUUUGGGGGUUGGGGUUUAACUCUGGCGUCCGUAGCUAACGUGAUAAAUCGACCGCCUGGGGAGUACGGCCGCAAGGUUA
rnacentral:rRNA from 1 species